CGACUUAUAUUCAGUGGCAAGGUUAACCGUAUAGGGGAGCCGUAGCGAAAGCGAGUCUUAACUGGGCGCUCAGUCUCUGGAUAUAGACCCGAAACCGGGUGAUCUAGCCAUGGGCAGGUUGAAGGUUGAGUAACAUCAACUGGAGGACCGAACCGACUAAUGUUGAAAAAUUAGCGGAUGACUUGUGGCUAGGGGUGAAAGGCCAAUCAAACUCGGAGAUAGCUGGUUCUCCCCGAAAGCUAUUUAGGUAGCGCCUCGGACGAAUACUACUGGGGGUAGAGCACUGUUAAGGCUAGGGGGUCAUCCCGACUUACCAACCCUUUGCAAACUCCGAAUACCAGUAAGUACUAUCCGGGAGACACACGGCGGGUGCUAACGUCCGUCGUGGAGAGGGAAACAACCCAGACCGCCAGCUAAGGUCCCAAAGUAUUGCUAAGUGGGAAACGAUGUGGGAAGGCUCAGACAGCUAGGAUGUUGGCUUAGAAGCAGCCAUCAUUUAAAGAAAGCGUAAUAGCUCACUAGUCGAGUCGGCCUGCGCGGAAGAUGUAACGGGGCUAAGCAAUACACCGAAGCUGCGGCAAUGUCUUUUAGACAUUGGGUAGGGGAGCGUUCUGUAAGCCGUUGAAGGUGAAUCGUAAGGUUUGCUGGAGGUAUCAGAAGUGCGAAUGCUGACAUGAGUAACGACAAAGGGGGUGAAAAACCUCCUCGCCGGAAGACCAAGGGUUCCUGUCCAACGUUAAUCGGGGCAGGGUGAGUCGACCCCUAAGGUGAGGCCGAAAGGCGUAAUCGAUGGGAAACGGGUUAAUAUUCCCGUACUUCUGACUAUUGCGAUGGGGGGACGGAGAAGGCUAGGUGGGCCAGGCGACGGUUGUCCUGGUUCAAGUGCGUAGGCUUGAGAGUUAGGUAAAUCCGGCUCUCUCUAAGGCUGAGACACGNUAAUACCUUAAUCAUUUGACGUUACCUACAGAAGAAGCACCGGCUAACUCCGUGCCAGCAGCCGCGGUAAUACGGAGGGUGCAAGCGUUAAUCGGAAUUACUGGGCGUAAAGCGCAUGCAGGUGGUUUGUUAAGUCAGAUGUGAAAGCCCUGGGCUCAACCUAGGAAUCGCAUUUGAAACUGACAAGCUAGAGUACUGUAGAGGGGGGUAGAAUUUCAGGUGUAGCGGUGAAAUGCGUAGAGAUCUGAAGGAAUACCGGUGGCGAAGGCGGCCCCCUGGACAGAUACUGACACUCAGAUGCGAAAGCGUGGGGAGCAAACAGGAUUAGAUACCCUGGUAGUCCACGCCGUAAACGAUGUCUACUUGGAGGUUGUGCCCUAGAGGUGUGGCUUUCGGAGCUAACGCGUUAAGUAGACCGCCUGGGGAGUACGGUCGCAAGAUUAAAACUCAAAUGAAUUGACGGGGGCCCGCACAAGCGGUGGAGCAUGUGGUUUAAUUCGAUGCAACGCGAAGAACCUUACCUACUCUUGACAUCCAGAGAAUCUAGCGGAGACGCUGGAGUGCCUUCGGGAGCUCUGAGACAGGUGCUGCAUGGCUGUCGUCAGCUCGUGUUGUGAAAUGUUGGGUUAAGUCCCGCAACGAGCGCAACCCUUAUCCUUGUUUGCCAGCACGUAAUGGUGGGAACUCCAGGGAGACUGCCGGUGAUAAACCGGAGGAAGGUGGGGACGACGUCAAGUCAUCAUGGCCCUUACGAGUAGGGCUACACACGUGCUACAAUGGCGUAUACAGAGGGCAGCGAUACCGCGAGGUGGAGCGAAUCUCACAAAGUACGUCGUAGUCCGGAUUGGAGUCUGCAACUCGACUCCAUGAAGUCGGAAUCGCUAGUAAUCGCAAAUCAGAAUGUUGCGGUGAAUACGUUCCCGGGCCUUGUACACACCGCCCGUCACACCAUGGGAGUGGGCUGCAAAAGAAGCAGGUAGUUUAACCUUCGGGAGGACGCUUGCCACUUUGUGGUUCAUGACUGGGGUGAAGUCGUAACAAGGUAGCGCUAGGGGAACCUGGCGCUGGAUCACCU
rnacentral:rRNA from 1 species